GGAUUGUAGCUCAGCGGUAGAGUGUUUGCCUAGCAUGUUGAGACACUGGGUUCAAUCCUCAGCACCG
rnacentral:tRNA from 1 species